rnacentral:rRNA from 1 species
UACGGAGGGUGCAAGCGUUGUUCGGAAUCAUUGGGCGUAAAGAGCGUGUAGGCGGCCAGGUAAGUCAGAUGUGAAAUCCCUUGGCUUAACCAAGGAAGUGCAUUUGAAACUGUCUGGCUUGAGUACGGGAGGGGGAAGUGGAAUUCCCGGUGUAGAGGUGAAAUUCGUAGAUAUCGGGAGGAACACCGGUGGCGAAGGCGGCUUCCUGGACCGAUACUGACGCUGAGACGCGAAAGCGUGGGGAG